GCUUCCGUAGCUCAGUUGGUUAGAGCUUCGUACUAAUAUUCAUCCUGGUGAGACAUUAGUGAUGCGGAGGCCGCAGGUUCAAGCCCUGCCGGGAGCA
rnacentral:tRNA from 1 species